AGACAACAAAAUGUUUAAUAUUAUUAUUUUGUCACCUUAGGUCGAUCGGUAUCUCACAUUUUUAAUUUAUUAAGAAUUUCUUUUCCUAAGUUUUUCUAGGUCACACCCAUUAUUUUUCCUGGGCCAUUAGCUCAGGUGGUUAGAGCGCACCCCUGAUAAGGGUGAGGUCCCUGGUUCAAGUCCAGGAUGGCCCAUAUCUCUAUGUUGGGGGUAUAGCUCAGUUGGUAGAGCGCCUGCUUUGCAAGCAGGAUGUCAGCGGUUCGAGUCCGCUUACCUCCACUGAUUACCACCUCUUCCAUAACCGGUAGAAAGGAAAUGUUUUGAGGUGUGAUCAAAUUCUGAAAGAAUCUAGCUUCCUAAUGAAAUCAUUAAGAUGCUGGAUUCAUUGAAUUAAUUUCAUUGUUUUCAGAGAACCUUGACAACUGCAUAGAUUAUUUUUAAAGACAAUAAGCAUCUUUAAUGAUGCAGAUUUAUUAUUUGUGCGAAUGCAUUAAUAACAAUUCUAUUAAGCUGAUGCUUCAAUUUUGAAGUUAUU
rnacentral:tRNA from 1 species